rnacentral:lncRNA from 1 species
UCUCUGAGGACCUCUACAGGGCUGGAUGGGAAGGACUGAUCCACAUUCCCACCAGGAAGUUUAGCAGAACCCCCGCGUGCCACCUGGACCCCUUGGAAGGACCUGGCUCAGGCUGGACCACCUCUUGAGAGGCAGGAGCUCUGGAUUUGAUCAAGAAUUCUUUGCUGAGCAUGGUGCCUCAUGCCUAUAAUCCCAACACUUUGGGAGGCCAGUGUGGGAGGAUCUCUUGAGCCCAGGAGUUCAAGACUAGCCUGGGCAACACAGAGAGACCCCAUCUCUAAAAUAAUAAUAAUAAUAAAAUAAAAAAUUAGCAGGGCAUGGUGGCAUGUGCCUGUAGUCCCAGCUACCCAGGAGGCUGAGGCAAGAGGAUGGCUGGAGCCUGGGAUGUUGAGGCUGCAAUGAACUGUGAUUACCCCACUGCACUCCAGCCUGGGCAAAAGAGCGAGAGACCCUGUCUCAAAUAAUAAUAAUAAUAAUAAUCUUAUUUUGGAGAAUAAAGAGACCUCUGGAUUUGAGGUGCCAUUUGGGUAGAAAGAAAAGACGUUUACACCGAGAAAUAGUCUGUGUUGCCCUGAAG